rnacentral:rRNA from 1 species
ACGGAGGGUCCAAGCGUUAUCCGGAUUUAUUGGGUUUAAAGGGUCCGUAGGCGGGAGAAUAAGUCAGUGGUGAAAGCCUACAGCUCAACUGUAGAACUGCCAUUGAAACUGUUUUUCUUGAAUGUAGAUGAAGUGGGCGGAAUAUAUCAUGUAGCGGUGAAAUGCAUAGAUAUGAUAUAGAACACCGAUUGCGAAGGCAGCUCACUAAACUAUUAUUGACGCUGAGGGACGAAAGUGUGGGGAGCGAACAGG